ACACCUCAGUUUGGCCUCACUGCGCUUCAGGCACACGAACUUGUAUUCAGUAACAGUUACUCUAAGUUCGAGCAAUUUAUGAAAAAUCACCCAUCUUUAACGAUUUGGGCACUUUUUGGCAUGUUACAUUCAGAAAGUGGACUUUAAACACUUUAUUUAUUUAUUUUUAAUCAUAAAAACUGUAUCAGGAACAGCUGCACAACCACACCCCCAAGGUCACAAACUGAAGCAAAUGCACUCACCAGCAGUAAAGGGUCACUCUCCUUACGUCCUCCUCCACAGGCCAGGCUGCAGUAACGGCCUGGAGAUUCAUCUCCUUUAGCCUCCUCGGAAUCCGCACUAUCUUUCCCUCCACCUGCCAGAGCCUUCGGACUCUGUGGCGGCAUCCAGCGCCAACCCGUGGUAAGCUGAGGCUGAGACAACAGGACGACCCCUUUUGGCCCUCUGGGACUCCUAGUUCACACUACGUGUCCCAGGAGUCCCCGCGGCCGGAAAUAAGCUUCCCGCCAGAGCGCGACCGGACUUGCUACAUCACAGCUGGGUCGGCGGACGCGCGGAGUGAUUUGCGGAGUCGGCGGAGGACCCGCCGCUCGCGGCUUGUACUUUUGGGACGAGUACGGUUCUGAGAGGGGCUCGGAAGGCUUGGGUUGCUGGCUCUCUCGGAUCUUUUGGGUACUGGACUACAUUUUCCAGAAGCCUGCGGGUGUAACGUUACUUCCUACUAGGUUGUCAGCGCUGUUAAUGCUGGAACGAGCUGAGCCGCGCAGCGGCUGUCGGAGCGCGGACUGUUGAUGUGGACCGGACCGCUGGGACCUGGCAGGACGCCGGAGAAGCAGAAGGAAUCAACCUGGAGCCCUAUGCGGAUUCUCGACUUCCACUCUGGUUCCCAAAGAGGGAGGGCAUCAUUGCUCAGGUGACCAGAGAACAAGGGAAGAGUAGCUGUUGGACAACUAAGAUUUUUAUCCAAGGGAUCGAACCCAUGUCCCCUGCAGUGGAAGCACGGAGUCUGAACCACUU